rnacentral:lncRNA from 1 species
GGGGAAGCCACUGGGCAGCCGUGCUCAGCAGAGGGCCCUGCACACAGAGGGUCCUCCACAUCCCUAUGACACGAGGGAAAAGCUGGUUAUCUGAUGUUCCUCUGACUCCGAUCACUGACCGAGCCCCAUGCACCUCAGAAGGUUUCUCUCCCACUGUGUCUGUGCUUCGUAGAGAGUUAACACACAACAAACACCUGCUAAUCUGAAUUCAGUGCCCACGAGUUUUCCGGGUCUGUGGCUACUGGCGCCGUCUUCCCAAAAGUCUGUUUAAUACCAUUGAACAGGCAGCCCUCCUAGAAGUUUUUCCCUACACCUGAGCUGGCCACAAGUUCUCCAUCCUCUUGGUGGCUUUGAAAAUCCCUUCAGGAUUCUGAGUGAAUACUUCAAGAGUGUGUUAUAAAUUCAGACACGUCUACGGGGCUUUAAAGUGCCGCAGCGGGAACCUCUUACUGAGGCAACCUGGGGGUAAAAGGCUUUUCACCUUCCCAGAGUGGCUCCACCCACAGCAUUUUCCUAGCCUGAAGUUAAAGAGGAAGAGGAGGAGGAGGAAGAGAAACUACCUGGCUGAGCCUCUUACCACCCCUUCGUCUCUCACGAGGCAGCUGUUUGAUUGCUACACUGUCACAUACGCAACCGCGUGUGCAGGACAGGAUGCAGGGACCCCUGCUGUGUGGACUGUGGCUCUGAGGAAGAACUCCCGGUGUGACAAGGAGGGUGUCCGCCACAGAGCACAGGGUGACGGUCCUUCCCAUGAUGUGCAAAUCCACCCUGGCCGUCUUCUCACCGCAGCAGCACAUCUGCCAAGGUCACGUUUUCAAGAGUUUCCAUACCUCCAGUGCUGGCCGGAAUUAAUCAUUUAUGAUAUUUAAUAAAACACACAUCAAAAGCAUCAGCCUUCUCAUUGAUGAUGAUUUUUUAAUCAUAACACGAGGUGGGGAGGAUUCCUUAGAUGUCUAAAGUAGCUCAUUGAUUGAAAAAGUUUGAGGCCGGGUGCAGUGGCUCAUAUCUGUAAUCCCGACA